rnacentral:rRNA from 1 species
GUGGGGAAUAUUGGACAAUGGGCGAAAGCCUGAUCCAGCCAUGCCGCGUGUGUGAAGAAGGUCUUCGGAUUGUAAAGCACUUUAAGUUGGGAGGAAGGGCAGUAAGUUAAUACCUUGCUGUUUUGACGUUACCGACAGAAUAAGCACCGGCUAACUUCGUGCCAGCAGCCGCGGUAAUACGAAGGGUGCAAGCGUUAAUCGGAAUUACUGGGCGUAAAGCGCGCGUAGGUGGUUUUGUAAGUUGGAGGUGAAAUCCCCGGGCUCAACCUGGGAACUGCGUCCAAAACUGCAUGACUAGAGUACGGUAGAGGGUAGUGGAAUUUCCUGUGUAGCGGUGAAAUGCGUAGAUAUAGGAAGGAACACCAGUGGCGAAGGCGACUACCUGGACUGAUACUGACACUGAGGUGCGAAAGCGUGGGGAGCAAACAGGAUUAGAAACCCUGGUAGUCC